rnacentral:rRNA from 1 species
CCUACGGGAGGCAGCAGUGAGGAAUAUUGGUCAAUGGACGAGAGUCUGAACCAGCCAAGUAGCGUGAAGGAUGACUGCCCUAUGGGUUGUAAACUUCUUUUAUAUGGGAAUAAAAUGUUCCACGUGUGGGAUUUUGUAUGUACCUUAUGAAUAAGGAUCGGCUAACUCCGUGCCAGCAGCCGCGGUAAUACGGAGGAUCCGAGCGUUAUCCGGAUUUAUUGGGUUUAAAGGGAGCGUAGGUGGAUUGUUAAGUCAGUUGUGAAAGUUUGCGGCUCAACCGUAAAAUUGCAGUUGAUACUGGCAGUCUUGAGUACAGUAGAGGUGGGCGGAAUUCGUGGUGUAGCGGUGAAAUGCUUAGAUAUCACGAAGAACUCCGAUUGCGAAGGCAGUUCACUGGACUGCAACUGACACUGAGGCUCGAAAGUGUGGGUAUCAAACAGGAUUAGAUACCCGAGUAGUC